GACUCCGAGCCGGGCCUACCACAGACGAGAAACCCUCACCUAGCUUCACCACUGCAUCCGCCAUACACCGGUCCCACUUCCUGCCCAGGUCUGUCUCCGACAUGUUCCCCACCGGAGCGGCUCCAGCUUUCCUCACGGCCUGCCCCCGCGAACAAAUCCACGCAAAUCUCGCGAGAGUCGGCCGGCGGCGCAACCAUUCAAUAGCUGGCGCCGGCAGAGCCAGUUAUCGCGAGAUUAUCCGCUUCUCCGUUCCUUUCCGGUUUAGUGGUGGUGGUUUCUUCUUUUUGCUUCUCCGUCGGUCGUCUAGGUGAUUGGUUGCCUGGAGGCCUGAGGUAACCAUGACCUUGGAGCUGAGCCCAAGGGUUAUGAGUCUAUUUCCUAGUCUGUUUCCAGAUCCCUGUCCAGAAGGCCUUGCCUCUCCUCCAUCUGAUUGUGUCCUGGACGUCUCAAGGGCAAGAAAGGGCACACUCAGGCCGGGCGUGAUGGUACACGCCUUUAAUCCCAGCAGAGGCUUCCCCAUGGCCUUCAUCCUACCAACAACCUUUAAAUAGGAACUGUUAACCCUGAUUUAUCACAGAAUAUAUGCAAGCUUCAGUCCUGCACUCACGGAAGCCUACCUUGACACAGCUCACCUUCUCCCACAAGCUGGCCUACUCCAUAGAAGUCUCUACCUGGAGCUAAUCUAUUCAAUUGGAUUCUCUACCUGGAGCUGGCCUAUCCCAUAGGAUUCUCUACCUGGAGCUGACCUACCCCAUGGAAUUCUCUACCUGGAGCUGGCCUAAACAUAGGAUUCUCUACAUGAAGCUGGCCUGCCCCAUAGAAUUCUCUACCUGGAGCUGGCCUACCCCAUAGAAUUCUCUACCUGGAGCUGACCUACCCCAUAGAAUUCUCUACCUGGAGCUGGCCUACAACAUAGGAUUCUCUACAUGAAGCUGGCCUGCCCCAUAGAAUUCUCUACCUGGAGCUGGCCUGCCCCAUAGAAUUCUCUACCUGGAGCUGACCUACCCCAUAGAAUUCUCUACCUGGAGCUGGCCUACAACAUAGGAUUCUCUACAUGAAGCUGGCCUGCCCCAUAGAAUUCUCUACCUGGAGCUGGCCUACAACAUAGGAUUCUCUACAUGAAGCUGGCCUGCCCCAUAGAAUUCUCUACCUGGAGCUAGCCUAUCCCAUAGAAUUCUCUACCUGGAGCUGGCCUGCCCCAUAGAAUUCUCUAUCUGGAGCUGGUCUAAACAUAGGAUUCUCUACAUGGAGCUUAGCUAUAUAGAUGCUAUUUGCCAGAACUAGAAGCUUCUUACAGGCCUGAGCUGUCUGUUCUGUCAUCACACUUGCAGGUCAGAUAUGUGCCUUGGGUAAUAAAAUCUAUGAAGUAGUUGUUGAAAUGAA